rnacentral:rRNA from 1 species
UGGGGAAUAUUGGACAAUGGGCGAAAGCCUGAUCCAGCCAUGCCGCGUGAGUGAUGAAGGCCUUAGGGUUGUAAAGCUCUUUCGCCAGGGAAGAUAAUGACGGUACCUGGAAAAGAAGCCUCGGCUAACUCCGUGCCAGCAGCCGCGGUAAGACGGAGGAGGCUAGCGUUGUUCGGAAUUACUGGGCGUAAAGCGUGCGCAGGUUGUGAGAUCAGUUGGAUGUGAAAGCCCGGGGCUUAACCUCGGAUGUGCAUCCAAUACUGUCUCGCUGGAGGUUGGAAGAGGAGAGUGGAAUUCCCAGUGUAGAGGUGAAAUUCGUAGAUAUUGGGAAGAACACCAGUGGCGAAGGCGGCUCUCUGGUCCAUACCUGACACUCAUGCACGAAAGCGUGGGGAGCAAACAGG